rnacentral:rRNA from 1 species
AAGUCGAACGAUGAAGCCCUUCGGGGUGGAUUAGUGGCGAACGGGUGAGUAACACGUGGGCAAUCUGCCCUUCACUCUGGGACAAGCCCUGGAAACGGGGUCUAAUACCGGAUACCACUCUCACGGGCAUCUGUGAGGGUUGAAAGCUCCGGCGGUGAAGGAUGAGCCCGCGGCCUAUCAGCUUGUUGGUGAGGUAACGGCUCACCAAGGCGACGACGGGUAGCCGGCCUGAGAGGGCGACCGGCCACACUGGGACUGAGACACGGCCCAGACUCCUACGGGAGGCAGCAGUGGGGAAUAUUGCACAAUGGGCGCAAGCCUGAUGCAGCGACGCCGCGUGAGGGAUGACGGCCUUCGGGUUGUAAACCUCUUUCAGCAGGGAAGAAGCGAAAGUGACGGUACCUGCAGAAGAAGCGCCGGCUAACUACGUGCCAGCAGCCGCGGUAAUACGUAGGGCGCAAGCGUUGUCCGGAAUUAUUGGGCGUAAAGAGCUCGUAGGCGGCUUGUCACGUCGGGUGUGAAAGACCGGGGCUUAACCCCGGUUCUGCAUUCGAUACGGGCUAGCUAGAGUGUGGUAGGGGAGAUCGGAAUUCCUGGUGUAGCGGUGAAAUGCGCAGAUAUCAGGA